rnacentral:rRNA from 1 species
GACGAACGCUGGCGGCGUGGAUUAGGCAUGCAAGUCGAACGGUAUCAUCCUUUCGGGGGUGAGAGAGUGGCGAACUGGUGAGUAACACGUAGGUUAUCUACCCUCAAGACGGGGACAACCCAGGGAAACUUGGGCUAAUACCGGAUGUGAGCAACUUUUAGUUGUUUGAAAGGUGGCGUAAGCUGUCGCUUGGGGAUGAGCCUGCGUCCUAUUAGUUAGUUGGUGAGGUAACGGCUCACCUAGGCAAUGAUAGGUAGGCGGCCUUAACGGGUGGUCGCCCACACUGGGAUUGAGAUACGGCCCAGACUCCUACGGGAGCAGCAGUCGAGAAUAGUCUACAAUGGUCGGAAGACUGAUAGUGCGACGCCGCGUGAACGAUGAAUCCCUUCGGGGUGUAAAGUUCUUUUAUAUGUGAGCAGUGCUUCUUAUAUUAACAGUAUGGGGAGAGAGAUAUUAGCAUAUGAAUAAGCAACGGCUAAACUCCGUGCCCAGCAGCCGCGGUAAGACG